GGGCGGUUAGCUCAGGGGGAGAGCGCUUCGUUGACACCGAAGAGGCCGCAAGUUCAAAUCUUGCACCGCCCACCA
rnacentral:tRNA from 1 species